UACGGAGGAUGCGAGCGUUAUCCGGAUUUAUUGGGUUUAAAGGGUGCGUAGGCGGACUGUCAAGUCAGCGGUAAAAUUGAGAGGCUCAACCUCUUCCCGCCGUUGAAACUGGUGGUCUUGAGUGGAUGAGAAGUACGCGGAAUGCGUGGUGUAGCGGUGAAAUGCAUAGAUAUCACGCAGAACUCCGAUUGCGAAGGCAGCGUACCGGCAUCCAACUGACGCUGAGGCACGAAAGCGUGGGGGUCAAACAGG
rnacentral:rRNA from 1 species